rnacentral:rRNA from 1 species
UACGUAGGGUCCGAGCGUUGUCCGGAAUUACUGGGCGUAAAGGGCGCGUAGGCGGCCUGCUAAGUCGAACGUGAAAUCCCCGAGCUCAACUCGGGAACUGCGUCCGAUACUGGCAGGCUUGAAUCCGGGAGAGGGAUGCGGAAUUCCAGGUGUAGCGGUGAAAUGCGUAGAUAUCUGGAGGAACACCGGUGGCGAAGGCGGCAUCCUGGACCGGCAUUGACGCUGAGGCGCGAAAGCCAGGGGAGCAAACGGG